rnacentral:rRNA from 1 species
UGAUCGAAGCCCCAGUAAACGGCGGCCGUAACUAUAACGGUCCUAAGGUAGCGAAAUUCCUUGUCGGGUAAGUUCCGACCUGCACGAAUGGCGUAAUGAUGGCCAGGCUGUCUCCACCCGAGACUCAGUGAAAUUGAACUCGCUGUGAAGAUGCAGUGUACCCGCGGCAAGACGGAAAGACCCCGUGAACCUUUACUAUAGCUUGACACUGAACAUUGAGCCUUGAUGUGUAGGAUAGGUGGGAGGCUUUGAAGUGUGGACGCCAGUCUGCAUGGAGCCAACCUUGAAAUACCACCCUUUAA